GACGAACGCUGGCGGCGUGCUUAACACAUGCAAGUCGAACGGAAAGGCCCUGCUUGCAGGGUACUCGAGUGGCGAACGGGUGAGUAACACGUGGGUGAUCUGCCCUGCACUUCGGGAUAAGCCUGGGAAACUGGGUCUAAUACCGGAUAGGAGCCAUUUUUAGUGUGAUGGUUGGAAAGUUUUUUUCGGUGUAGGAUGAGCUCGCGGCCUAUCAGCUUGUUGGUGGGGUAAUGGCCUACCAAGGCGGCGACGGGUAGCCGGCCUGAGAGGGUGGACGGCCACAGUGGGACUGAGAUACGGCCCAGACUCCUACGGGAGGCAGCAGUGGGGAAUAUUGCACAAUGGGCGCAAGCCUGAUGCAGCGACGCCGCGGGGGGGAUGACGGCCUUCGGGUUGUAAACUCCUUUCGCUAGGGACGAAGCUUUUUGUGACGGUACCUAGAUAAGAAGCACCGGCUAACUACGUG
rnacentral:rRNA from 1 species